UACGUAGGGUGCGAGCGUUGUCCGGAAUUAUUGGGCGUAAAGAGCUCGUAGGCGGCUUGUCACGUCGGGUGUGAAAGCCCGGGGCUUAACCCCGGGUCUGCAUUCGAUACGGGCAGGCUUGAGUGUGGUAGGGGAGAUCGGAAUUCCUGUGUAGCGGUGAAAUGCGCAGAUAUCAGGAGGAACACCGGUGGCGAAGGCGGAUCUCUGGGCCAUUACUGACGCUGAGGAGCGAAAGCGUGGGGGGGAGCGAACAGG
rnacentral:rRNA from 1 species